GAUUCUGGCUCAGGACGAACGCUGGCGGCGUGCUUCAUACAUGCAAGUCGAACGAGAAACUGGCUUCGGUCAGUGGAAAGUGGCGGACGGGUGAGUAAUAUGUAGAGAAUCUGCCCUAGAGAGAGGGACAACAGUUGGAAACGGCUGCUAAUACCUCAUAUGCGCGUAGCUGAAAUGCUAUUCGUGAAAACUCCGGUGCUCUGGGAUGAGUCUGCAUCUGAUUAGCUUGUUGGCGGUGUAAUGGACCACCAAGGCGACGAUCAGUAGCUGGUUUGAGAGGAUGAUCAGCCACAAUGGACUGAGACACGGCCCAUACUCCUACGGGAGGCAGCAGUAGGGUAAUUUUGCGCAAUGGGGGAAACCCUGACGCAAGCAACGCCGCGUGAGUGAAGAAGGCCUUCGGGUUGUAAAGCUCUGUUAUAGUUGACGAAGGAAGUGACGGUAGGCUAUAAGGAAGCCCCGGCUAACUACGUGCCAGCAGCUGC
rnacentral:rRNA from 1 species